rnacentral:rRNA from 1 species
UGGAGCGGUAAUAUGUGUAGAUAUGCGGAGAAAUACCUGUGGAGAACGCGGCCCCGUAGCAGAAGACUGACGCUCAGAUGAGAGAGAGUGGAGAGCAACACAGGAUUAUAUACCUGGGUAGUCCACGCUGAAAAAUAUGUCGACUUGGUGGUUGUGCCCUUGAGCGUCGGCUUCGAGAGCUAACGUUAAAAGUCGCACGCGGGGGGAGUAGUCGCCGCAAGGUUAAUCUCAAAUGAAUUGACGGGGGCGCACACAAGCGGUGGAGCAUGUGGUUUAAUUCGAUGCAACGAGAAGAACCUUACCUGGUCUUGACAUCCACGGAAGUUUUUAGAGAUGAGAAUUGCCUCAAGGAACAAUGAGACAGGUGCUGCAUGGCUGUCGUCAGCUCGUGUUGUGAAAUGUUGGGUUAAGUCCCGCAACGAGCGCAACCCUUAUCCGUAGUUGCCACUGGUCAAGCCGGGAACUCAAAGGAGACUGUCAGUAUAAAAGAGAGGAAGGGGGGAUGACGUCAAGUCAUCAUGCCCUUUGUCCCAGGGUACCACACUGUUUCCAAUCAGGCAUACAAAGAGAAGCGACCUCGGAGGAGCAAGCGGUCGUAGAAAACUGUGUUGUAGUCGGGAUGCGAUUUUCAAAUUGGACUCCAGGAACUGGGAAUCGUUGGAAAUGGGGGAUCAGUAGACCCCGGGGAAUAGUUUCCCGGCCUUGGUCCACCCCCCCGGUCACUCCAAAAGAGUAGGUUGCAAAAGAAUUAGGUAGCUUAACGCAAGGAGGCAAGUUACCAAUGUAUGAUUCAUGAUUGGGGUGAAGUCGUAACAAGGUAACC